GUAUCUCUUAAAUGGAAGCAAAACCCAGAUCGGGGUGGGGGAGGAGGCCUUACUCAUCCUCAUCUUUCUAAUGUACACUGGGUGCCAAAACCAUCUCUGCCUUGUGCAGAUUUAUCAUCGCUAGAGCAAACUUUUUGCUUAUCUGUCUCGGGAGGAAGGCACGGGAUUCUAGCAUAGUCUCUGAGCUCUAACAGAUCAGAGAAUCCGUGAAGAUUUGGUUGGCUGAACAACAGGAUUGAUUACUGUUUCUUCCUGAAAAGAGAGAGAGAGAAAAAAAAAAAAAAGCUUCCCUCAGUCCUUUCUCUCUUCCCCAAGCAGAGGGAGAGACUGCAUAAUUUCAUUCAGGGGUCAGAAAUAAAUUCCUUCGAAAAUAUGUAGCCUUGGAAUUAAGGAGGUUUUUUUUUUUCCUAUACAGUCAUAAGUUUAAUGUACAUUUUCACAAUAGUUAAGCUUUUUUUUUUUUCAGGAUCCAUGCCUGACUAGAUCCCAAGUAGCAACAGCUGGCCUGAGAAUGUCUUGGGUUUGAAGAGGUGGCUCUGUGGUCAAAAGCACAUGGUACUUUUGCAGAGGACCCAAGUUUGUUUGCCAACACCUACAUCAGACCUACACCUGCUCACAACCUCCUCCAAUUCCAGCUUCAGUUCCUGAAGCCACUGGGUCCCACCUGCUUGAGCUAAUUGUCCCCUCCUGGGUUUCAUUUAACCCAGGCUAGCCUUGCAACUGAAGAUAAACUUGAACUCCUGACUCUUGUGCCUCCACUUCAGGAUGCUGGAAUUCAGAUGUGCACCAUCAUGUCCCAUUCAUGUAGUGUGAAAAUUGAACACAGCACCCACAGUGUGAGCCCAAGGUCACAAUUUUCGAUGUCUUAUAGCAAGUAGCUG
rnacentral:lncRNA from 1 species